rnacentral:rRNA from 1 species
AACGAACGCUGGCGGCAGGCCUAACACAUGCAAGUCGAACGCCCUAGCAAUAGGGAGUGGCAGACGGGUGAGUAACACGUGGGAACCUUCCCUAUAGUACGGAAUAGCCCAGGGAAACUUGGAGUAAUACCGUAUACGCCCGAGAGGGGAAAGAUUUAUCGCUAUAGGAUGGGCCCGCGUCGGAUUAGCUAGUUGGUGAGGUAACGGCUCACCAAGGCAACGAUCCGUAGCUGGUUUGAGAGAAUGACCAGCCACACUGGGACUGAGACACGGCCCAGACUCCUACGGGAGGCAGCAGUGGGGAAUCUUGGACAAUGGGCGCAAGCCUGAUCCAGCCAUGCCGCGUGAGUGAUGAAGGCCCUAGGGUUGUAAAGCUCUCCUGUCGGGGACGAUAAUGACGGUACCCGAAGAAUAAGCUCCGGCUAACUUCGUGCCAGCAGCCGCCGUAA